CAUCCAUGACCGCCAGGGAGUGUUCUCCGCACGGACAUCAGAGAUAAAUUCUGUGUGUCAAGGAGGGCGUCCACAAUGACUGACCGCACAUCGUGUCUAGUCCAUUUCACGAGCGCACGGAAUAUUCUGAUGAACCCUCAGGGAAGUUUGCGGAGCACUUUGAGGUGGCUGGUGGGUGACCAGAUAGGCCACAGACUGGAGCCAUGGAAUAACGAUCGGUUUCCUCGUGUAGUCACUACUACCUGCUACAACUUCAAACGCAUUUUCAAGUGCUACUGUGCGUGCCUGAGGAGGUAGACCAAGAAUCAAGUGUGCCGUUUGCCUCAGCAGCUCCGGGAGAACCUGUAAGCAUAUGAAAAAAAGCCGUCAAAGAAAGACCGACUAUCAACAUGCAGAUGUUUUUUUGUAUCUGGAAGAGAUCUGCUAUAUCUGCACACAACUCGGCACUAGGACAAACCUGCAAGUCCACACGCCCGAUCAAGUGCAAUAACAGCAACUGGAGUUUCUCAGCAUCUCCAAGGUCAUCUAAAUCCUUCUCUGCUCCCUUUUUAACAUCUUUGACACUUGUGCUCAUAGGCUUCAGAGUUGAUGCUUUAUGAACGAGCAGGUUAAUACAAUGUAGAGUUGCAGGGCUACCCGGAGGAAGAGUCUUUGAAAUAGCUGCUAUUCCAUAGACAAGGGCAUCAAAAGGAGUCACUCCUGGAAAUGUCUGCACACACUCCAAUUGUGUAUUCAGCGAGAAUGAGACACAACUAGCAACUUUGACCUGUUUUACUGUCACAGAUAAAUAAGAUCCAUGGAAAUACUGGCCAAGACAUUAUUUUCUA